AUGGAGGGGUCCUCCUUCCCCGCCUCAUCCUUCCAGCCCCCCGCCAUCGCCCGCGCAAGCUCCCGGUACGCCCCCUGGGCCCUCCUCGACAGCAAGGCCUACUUCGCGGCCCUCGAGAACGACACCACCGUCGAGGCCACCACCAGCACCGGCCACGCCAUCAGGGUCACCUUCUGCCUGGCCGACCCGCCGGCCAUCUCCCACUUCUGCGUCCACGGCCCCGGGCUCGAUCGCGAGGACUUCACGAUGGAGCCCCAGGUCCACUCCUCGGCCAAGGGCCUCGUCCUCCUCCGCUUCGCCUUCACCAUCGGCCCCCGGGCCACCCACCGGCACAACCGCCUCGCCGAGUACUACGUCUACAAGGCCGGCCGCGGCAAGCCGCCGUCGCUCACGCCGAUCCCGCGCACUCCUCCGGGCACCGUAAACUCGUCCUACAUCUGCGUCCUGCCGCUUGACGACGACGACGACGACGACGCCGGGAAAUUCCUACUCGCCGAGCUCGGCAUGACCAGGUCCAACUCCGACUACGAGCUCUACGUCUUCUCCUCCAAGACCGGCGAGUGGACCAUCAGGCAGUUGCGGCUGCAGACACCUCCCGAGGUCAGGAACGAGGACCUGCCCGGCCCUCACAUGGACAAGGCGAUCGCGCUCGGGGGAGGCGCCGUGGGCUGGGUGGACCUCUGGCGCGGCAUCGUCACCUGCAACGUGCUCGACGACAACCCCGUUCUGACUCUCAUCCCCAUACCCACGUGGGACGGUAAGCUGCGGCGGCUGGCCCGGGACAUCACCUGCUGCAGCAAUGGCUUCAUCAAGCUUGUCGACCUGGACCUCCGUUUCAAAAAGAUCGUCGCUGACCAUAACCACAAGACUCGCAAGGUGGCCGAGGAUCUCGACAGCGUAGACAUCAUCUACGAUUCAGACCUGCUCCUCUACGACGACGAUGCAUGCGCCGAACACACUUUUGUGAAUGAUGGUUGGAAGAUCCGGACGUGCUACAGGCAUACUUCCUGGGACUACUGGCGCAAGGGGCACACCGUCGACAUCGAUGAAAUCUCGGUCGACAACCCUGAUCACUUUACGUCGCUCCCACAGCUGUGGGACGCUGAAGCUGCUGGGAGACCGGCACUGAGGAACUUGCUUUCCGCUUUCCCUACCCUCGGCAUUGGCGGCGACGACGACGACGUUGUUUACCUGAUGUCUAAGGUGACAUAUGAUGAUAAGAACGCGUGGAUGGUCGGUGUUAAUCUUGGAAAGAAGACACUGGAUGUGGCUGUGCCAGUUUCUUCCGAGAGAGUCGGUUAUUACGAACCGGACUUCCUCGCUUGUGGAUUCUCCGAAUAUCUGAACGCGACUCCAAGGUAA
rnacentral:rRNA from 1 species